rnacentral:snRNA from 10 species
UUCUUCACCUCAAGGACCUCUAAGCUUAAGGGAGGAGAUUAGAUCAGCCUGGCCCCUGCGCAAGGAUGACAUGCAAAUUCACAAAGCGGACUAUAUUAAC